rnacentral:rRNA from 1 species
GAUGAACGCUAGCUACAGGCUUAACACAUGCAAGUCGAGGGGCAGCAUGGACAUAGCUUGCUAUGUUUGAUGGCGACCGGCGCACGGGUGCGUAACACGUAUCCAAUCUGCCCGUUACUCGGGGAUAGCCUUCUGAAAGGAAGAUUAAUACCCGAUUGCAUGUAUUUCCGGCAUCGGAGAUACAUUAAAGAUUUAUCGGUAACGGAUGAGGAUGCGUACGAUUAGCUUGUUGGCGGGGUAACGGCCCACCAAGGCAACGAUCGUUAGGGGUUCUGAGAGGAAGGUCCCCCACACUGGAACUGAGACACGGUCCAGACUCCUACGGGAGGCAGCAGUGAGGAAUAUUGGCCAAUGGUCGGAAGACUGAACCAGCCAAGUAGCGUGAAGGAUGACUGCCCUACGGGUUGUAAACUUCUUUUGUUUGGGAAUAAAAGACGCUACGUGUAGCGUUCUGCAUGUACCUUACGAAUAAGCAUCGGCUAAUUCCGUGCCAGCAGCCGCGGUAAGAC